rnacentral:misc_RNA from 1 species
GUCUUGCCAGUGUACUGA